GUGGGGAAUAUUGGACAAUGGGGGGAACCCUGAUCCAGCCAUGCCGCGUGUGUGAAGAAGGCCUUUUGGUUGUAAAGCACUUUAAGCGAGGAGGAGGCUACCGAGAUUAAUACUCUUGGAUAGUGGACGUUACUCGCAGAAUAAGCACCGGCUAACUCUGUGCCAGCAGCCGCGGUAAUACAGAGGGUGCAAGCGUUAAUCGGAUUUACUGGGCGUAAAGCGCGCGUAGGUGGCCAAUUAAGGCAAAUGUGAAAACCCCGGGCUUAAAUUGGGAAUUGCAUUCGAUACUGGUUGGCUAGAGUAUGGGAGAGGAUGGUAGAAUUCCAGGUGUAGCGGUGAAAUGCGUAGAGAUCUGGAGGAAUACCGAUGGCGAAGGCAGCCAUCUGGCCUAAUACUGACACUGAGGUGCGAAAGCAUGGGGAGCAAACAGGAUUAGAAACCCUUGUAGUCC
rnacentral:rRNA from 1 species